GGGCAGGUAGCGUAGUGGUAAAGCGUUCUCUAAGCGUAUUCAGCGUUGUAUUUCCUCCAGCGUUUAGCGAAAGAUCCGGGUUCGAGUCCCGGCCUGCCCA